AGUGAACGCUGGCGGUAGGCCUAACACAUGCAAGUCGAACGGCAGCACAGUAAGAGCUUGCUCUUACGGGUGGCGAGUGGCGGACGGGUGAGGAAUACAUCGGAAUCUACUUUUUCGUGGGGGAUAACGUAGGGAAACUUACGCUAAUACCGCAUACGACCUACGGGUGAAAGCAGGGGAUCUUCGGACCUUGCGCGAUUGAAUGAGCCGAUGUCGGAUUAGCUAGUUGGCGGGGUAAAGGCCCACCAAGGCGACGAUCCGUAGCUGGUCUGAGAGGAUGAUCAGCCGCACUGGAACUGGGACACGGACCAGGCGCCUGCGGGAGGCAGCAGUGGGGAAUAUUGGACAAUGGGCGCAAGCCUGAUCCAGCCAUACCGCGUGGGUGGAGAAGGCCUUCGGGUUGGGAAGCCCUUUUGUUGGGAAAGAAAAGCAGCAGGUUAAUACCCCGCUGUUCUGACGGUACCCAGAGAAUAAGCACCGGCUAACUUCGUG
rnacentral:rRNA from 1 species